rnacentral:lncRNA from 1 species
UUGUUUUUCUGAAAUUGAAAGUAGUGGGUAGGUUAUGGUUAUCAAUGUUUCCAUACCCGCCAUAACCGAACCGACCCGACAUGUAGUAAAUCUUUGUCGGAUUUUCACCAUUUUUUCAAUAUUUGAUGUAUUUGGUUGAACGCUUGUUAAUCUAUGGGUUAAAUCGUAUCGUUUUGGUUGAUAUUUAUUUAGAUUUAUGGAUUAUAUAAUCGUUUUGUUUGAAUAUUUGAUAAUAAUCAAUAUUAGUAUUAUAGAUUAAAUGUAUUUCAAAUACUAUGUAGUAAACUAAUAUACAGAAAUGUGUUACAACAAUUUAUUUCAUGGUCAAAAGAAUUUUGAGCUAUUUUUAGCUAGGCCUAAAUUCACAGUUAACCGACCAUAACCGACCCGCUAUAACCUUCAAAACCGCCAUAACCAAUUGGUUAUGGUUAUCCAUUAACUGACAUCGCAGUUAUAGUUAUGGUUUUGAUGCAAAACCGACCCAAACCGACCCAUGUACACUCCUACUGAGCAUUUUAAACAAAAAUUGAAUCUCUGCAUUCUCUAUGUCAACAGUUAACUAAUCCAACUAUUUUAAUAAAUGGUUGUAGUUUUAUCGCAAGGAUUAUUAAGUGAUACCUGAAGGUAACAAUGAUCACUGCAAGGUUUCACCGUCUCUUGAGAAUCAAGAGGAUGAAGUAAACUUCAGGAUGAAAUUGCAAUGGUUCUAAGAGUACAAAACCUUACAGGAGUAAUAACGGUUUGAGAGUAACCAUGAAGACGGCAAUCAAAUACCUGUUAAAACAAUAUAAAAAAUAACCUUAAACAUGACAAUUCUAAUGAACAGUAACAAAAUGUGAAACAAGUAAACAGAUGUACCAAACACCGCCGACAAAAAAGAUUAUCAAGGGAAUCUAAUGAAGCACUAAGACUUUUGUCCAGAGGUAUGCUCCAAUCAUGAUGAUGGUCUGCAGAAGCAGACACAUUUUGGUUUAUGUUUUCUUCAUCUUCUGUUUUCAACAUGAUAUAUGCCUCCUGCGUCACAUAAACAACAACAAAAACUUCAAGUAUAUAGAAAAAAACUAGUAAAAAGCAAGACUUGAUAUGAAAAACACAAUUCUUAAUGAUAAAAUAAGAGCAACUGAGGUACAUAGAUUUCUGAAGUAUUCCCCCCAACAUAUUGUGUCAAGAUUUUAAUUACUUCGUCACUUGGCUCAUAAUCCCGAGAAACCAUCCUGCAAGAUUCAAUAGAUGAUGAAAUCUUUUCAGCACAAAUUUUUAUUUCUGCUCAAUGUAGCGUGAAUAACAACAGAUAUUCAAAUUAAUUUGCAUUUUUAACGGAUGAACUGCAUAGGGCUGCAAACAAACCGAAUUUUCAGCGAUCAGCUCAUGAACCGUUCGGCGGGAAGUUCGUUCGUGUCCGUUCAUUUAAUAAAUCAAUGAACAUUAACAGAGUUCACGUUUGUUCAUUUAUGUUCGAGAACGUUCGAUAACGUGUUCGUUUGUGUUCGAUAGUUCCUUAAGGUUUUAACUUUUAUAUUUAUUUUUCGAUAUUCUUUUUAUUUUAUUUAUUUUAUUACCCAAACAAAUAAACAAUUAACUUUAUUUGAGAUAAUUGAGACAAAUAAACCCUAUUCCAGUGUUCAUGAACGCCCGUUUGUGUUCAUGGACGUUCGUUUGUGUUUGUGGCCGUGCAUGUUCAUGAACGGUUUUUUUCGUUCGUUUGUGUUCGGUGCCUAAAAUUAACAAACACGAACAUGUUCAUUUCCUUAAUGAACGAACACGAACAGAAAAUCUCAAUCGGUAAGUGUUCAUGAACACAUGUAUUCAAUUCGUUUGCAGCCCUACAUGAACAACAUCCAAGAGUAAUGUAUAAUCUUAACUAACCGUAUGAUGCGUUUUUCUGUCUCGGAAAAUUCAUGUUUCUCUUCCUCUGGUUCAGUAAGCUCUUCCUCACUGUCACUACAAAUCAGAGCUUCACUUCCAUUUUGAUCAUAAUAUAUACGUCGCCUCCCAACAAUUGAUUGAUCAUCAGCCAUUCUCUGGUUUCUGUCAUCCAUACAAAGAAAUCACAUAUUUAUACUUUUGGUACUUAAAACUAGUUACAUAAUAUAUAUAUAAAACGGAAGUACAGAUGG